GAUGAACGCUGGCGGCGUGCCUAAUACAUGCAAGUCGAGCGAACAGACGAGGAGCUUGCUCCUCUGACGUUAGCGGCGGACGGGUGAGUAACACGUGGAUCACCUACCUAUAAGACUGGGAUAACUUCGGGAAACCGGAGCUAAUACCAGAUAAUAUAUUGAACCGCAUGGUUCAAUAGUGAAUGACGGUUUUGCUGUCACUUAUAGAUGGAUCCGCGCCGCAUUAGCUAGUUGGUAAGGUAACGGCUUACCAAGGCAACGAUGCGUAGCCGACCUGAGAGGGUGAUCAGCCACACUGGAACUGAGACACGGUCCAGACUCCUACGGGAGGCAGCAGUAGGGAAUCUUGGGCAAUGGGCGAAAGCCUGACGGAGCAACACCGCGUGGGUGAAGAAGGUCUUCGGAUCGUAAAGCUCUGUUAUUGGGAAAGAACAGAUGUGGAAUUAAAUAUGCACGUCUUGACGGUACCUAAUCAGAAAGCCACGGCUAACUACGUG
rnacentral:rRNA from 1 species